CACCAACUCGCACUCAGUGGAGGAUUUUCCCCAAAUAAGAAGAGGAUAUUCAGAUUCUGGGAAUCCCCCCACCACACACAAACAGAAAAUGUCACUACCUCAGGUCUUUGCUGUCACAUGACUUUUGGUUUAGUCAGAGAAGCAGAAAAGUAAACAGAUGACUAAUACAACAAGAAUGAGGGUGUCUCAUUCCUCACUCCAGGUGGAGAAAGAGAAAAGCGAACAGUAAUUAAUACUAAGAAGGUAGAACCUGGAGACUCAUUGAAGUCGGAGGCGAUGGAGAACAAAGGAGACACAGAUGGCGCCCUGAUUUGGGGACUAGCAAGGAAAUGGAUGGUGGAGGGAAUCAACAAAAUGGGGAACACAAGAGGGGGCCCAGGUUUUGAGGGGAGACCAAGAGUUGGGUUUUAUACAUGGAACUGUUCCAGAAGCUGGAGAGGCAGCAGAGAACAAGAGAUGACCAUCCUUGCUUUCAUGGGGCUUACAUUCUAGAGGAGCUUGUCAGGACCCCAGGAGAGAAGAAGGACUGGGUAUCUAGAUUUGGGGUGCAGCUGCUCAGGGGUGGUAAUUAGAGCCUUGCGCAUAGAUGAAACAACCUAGGAAGGCGUAGACUAGGAGAGAAGAGGGCCUUGGCUGGAACAUGGGAGACACAGGACUUAAGGAGGAAGAAGAGACAGCAAAGGAGGUUGAGAAGGAGCUGCCAUCUGCCAUCUGUGGUCUCUCUAGGUCUGAAAGCCAUGGCUGAGAUCUGCUCAAAGUGUGUCAAAGGAGAGGCGUGAAAGGGUCCUGGGGCUUCCAGACAACAGCUGGUGUGGGGCAGGCUUCUCUGAGCCGCUGUGGUCCUCAGAUGGAUUUCAGCAUCAGCCUGCUCCUGCUCUCCCUCCCUCCCGCCUUCCCCUGGAUGGUGUCUUGCAGAGACAGUCUCCCUGUUUCCUCUGUGGCAGAUGCUCCGCUCUAUAGCAACACCUCAUCAAUCACCAGUAGAGAACCUGCUUCCUGCCCCUGGAAUAACAGCGUCAUAAUGUGAUUGACGAGGAGGAGACAACAUGGCCUCCAUCACUCUUUGGAAACUCAAGGAGUGGAAGAUUGAAGCUCCGGAAAAACUGGAGUUCCGACUAGAGGAUUUCUUUCCUUAUGAAUUUAGUUCUCAUUUCUGGGUCAUCACCUGAUAGUUAUGACCCCAGAGGAGACCAGUGAAUCAUCCAGUCAUGGGGUUUGGAGAUGAUUCAGCAAGAUCGAAGUGGUGUCAGGAGUGCUUUUGGCUGAAGUUCUCAAAGGUACUGAUUACAUAUCCAAUUAUGCAACUGGCCCUGAGGCUCGCAUUGUGGUACAACCUGAUUUUCACCCAAACUAAGUGUG